ACUUUUACUAUUUGGUCAAUCAAGAAGUGAAAUUACAGAGCAAAAGCAGAUAUAGUUUUGAAGAUGGCAGGUUACAGAGGUGAUGAUGAGUAUGAUUACCUUUUCAAGCUUGUGUUGAUAGGUGAUUCAGGUGUGGGUAAAUCUAAUCUGCUUUCCAGGUUCACCAAAAAUGAAUUCAAUUUGGAGUCUAAAUCAACUAUUGGGGUUGAAUUUGCAACCAAAAGUCUUAAUAUUGAUGGUAAAGUUAUUAAAGCUCAGAUUUGGGAUACUG
rnacentral:misc_RNA from 1 species